UUUUUCUGGGCAGUCAUUGCUACUGUAAACAUCCUUGACUGGAAGCUGUAAGGUGUUAGAAGGGAGCUUUCAGUCGGAUGUUUACAGCGGCAGGCUGCCACAGUCAUCC
rnacentral:miRNA from 1 species